GGGCCCGUAGCUCAGCAAGGUAGAGUGCCGGGCUCCAGAUAUGGAGAACAUUGGGUCUAACGACCCCUGAAGGGGGAUGAGCGGUAUCUGGAAAAGUGAGAGACCCGGUGGUCCGGGGUUCAAGUCCCCGCGGGCCCA
rnacentral:tRNA from 1 species